ACGAACGCUGGCGGCAUGCCUAACACCUGCAAGUCGAACGAGACCUUCGGGUCUAGUGGCGCACGGGUGCGUAACGCGUGGGAACCUGCCCUUAGGUUCGGAAUAACUCCCCGAAGGGGGUGCUAAUACCGGAUAAUGUCUUCGGACCAAAGAUUUAUCGCCUUUGGAUGGGCCCGCGUUGGAUUAGCUAGUUGGUAGGGUAAAAGCCUACCAAGGCGACGAUCCAUAGCUGGUCUGAGAGGAUGACCAGCCACACUGGGACUGAGACACGGCCCAGACUCCUACGGGAGGCAGCAGUGGGGAAUAUUGGACAAUGGGCGAAAGCCUGAUCCAGCAAUGCCGCGUGAGUGAUGAAGGCCUUAGGGUUGUAAAGCUCUUUUACCCGGGAUGAUAAUGACAGUACCGGGAGAAUAAGCUCCGGCUAACUCCGUG
rnacentral:rRNA from 1 species